rnacentral:rRNA from 1 species
UAACACAUGCAAGUCGAGGGGCAGCAUGGUCUUAGCUUGCUAAGACUGAUGGCGACCGGCGCACGGGUGAGUAACACGUAUCCAACCUGCCGUCUACUCUUGGACAGCCUUCUGAAAGGAAGAUUAAUACAAGAUGGCAUCAUGAGUCCGCAUGUUCACAUGAUUAAAGGUAUUCCGGUAGACGAUGGGGAUGCGUUCCAUUAGAUAGUAGGCGGGGUAACGGCCCACCUAGUCUUCGAUGGAUAGGGGUUCUGAGAGGAAGGUCCCCCACAUUGGAACUGAGACACGGUCCAAACUCCUACGGGAGGCAGCAGUGAGGAAUAUUGGUCAAUGGGCGAGAGCCUGAACCAGCCAAGUAGCGUGAAGGAUGACUGCCCUAUGGGUUGUAAACUUCUUUUAUAAAGGAAUAAAGUCGGGUAUGCAUACCCGUUUGCAUGUACUUUAUGAAUAAGGAUCGGCUAACUCCGUGCCAGCAGCCGCGGUAAUACGGAGGAUCCGAGCGUUAUCCGGAUUUAUUGGGUUUAAAGGGAGCGUAGAUGGAUGUUUAAGUCAGUUGUGAAAGUUUGCGGCUCAACCGUAAAAUUGCAGUUGAUACUGGAUAUCUUGAGUGCAGUUGAGGCAGGCGGAAUUCGUGGUGUAGCGGUGAAAUGCUUAGAUAUCACGAAGAACUCCGAUUGCGAAGGCAGCCUGCUAAGCUGCAACUGACAUUGAGGCUCGAAAGUGUGGGUAUCAAACAGGAUUAGAUACCCUGGUAGUCCACACGGUAAACGAUGAAUACUCGCUGUUUGCGAUAUACUGCAAGCGGCCAAGCGAAAGCGUUAAGUAUUCCACCUGGGGAGUACGCCGGCAACGGUGAAACUCAAAGGAAUUGACGGGGGCCCGCACAAGCGGAGGAACAUGUGGUUUAAUUCGAUGAUACGCGAGGAACCUUACCCGGGCUUAAAUUGCAGAUGAAUUACGGUGAAAGCCGUAAGCCGCAAGGCAUCUGUGAAGGUGCUGCAUGGUUGUCGUCAGCUCGUGCCGUGAGGUGUCGGCUUAAGUGCCAUAACGAGCGCAACCCUUGUUGUCAGUUACUAACAGGUUCCGCUGAGGACUCUGACAAGACUGCCAUCGUAAGAUGUGAGGAAGGUGGGGAUGACGUCAAAUCAGCACGGCCCUUACGUCCGGGGCUACACACGUGUUACAAUGGGGGGUACAGAGGGCCGCUACCACGCGAGUGGAUGCCAAUCCCCAAAACCUCUCUCAGUUCGGACUGGAGUCUGCAACCCGACUCCACGAAGCUGGAUUCGCUAGUAAUCGCGCAUCAGCCACGGCGCGGUGAAUACGUUCCCGGGCCUUGUACACACCGCCCGUCAAGCCAUGGGAGCCGGGGGUACCUGAAGUGCGUAACCGCGAGGAGCGCCCUAGGGUAAAACUGGUGACUGGGGCUAAGUCGU